rnacentral:rRNA from 1 species
AUACGCGAGGAACUUUACCCGGGCUCAAACGUUGCAGGAAGGGUGUCUGAAAGGAUGCCCGUCUACGGACCUGCGACGAGGUGCUGCAUGGUUGUCGUCAGCUCGUGCCGUGAGGUGUCGGCUUAAGUGCCAUAACGAGCGCAACCCCUACCGCCAGUUGCCAACAGGCAAAGCUGGGGACUCUGGCGGGACUGCCGGCGCAAGCUGCGAGGAAGGCGGGGAUGACGUCAAAUCAGCACGGCCCUUACGUCCGGGGCGACACACGUGUUACAAUGGCAGGUACAGCGGGAAGCCACCUGGCGACAGGGAGCGGAACCCGAAAGCCUGUCUCAGUUCGGAUUGGAGUCUGCAACCCGACUCCAUGAAGCUGGAUUCGCUAGUAAUCGCGCAUCAGCCACGGCGCGGUGAAUACGUUCCCGGGCCUUGUACACACCGCCCGUCAAGCCAUGGGAGUCGGGAGUGCCUGAAGUGCGUGAGCGCGAGCAGCGCCCUAGGGCAAAACCGAUGACUGGGGCUAAGUCGUAACAAGGUAACCGU